rnacentral:tRNA from 1 species
GAGCAGAUGGGGCGGCGCCUUGCCUGCGUGCCUUACUUCGCCACGGUGUGCCUCGCGGCGACGGCGCUGGCGCAGUGCGAAUCGGAGGCGGCUCG